UUCCUGUUUUUAAAAGAAUUGAAAACUGACCCCGAGAAAAAAGCUCGUCUCAAUUUCAAUAAUUCACGAGAGAUUUGUGGAGUUAGUAGAGCGACCGUGGAUCGAAUAGAAACUGAAGUAUCACACGCAGGCAACCCGAAUAUACCAAGAGCAAAUGUUAAGAAGACAGCAACUGUCACUGAUCUAGAUAGCUUUGAUGUCAGCGUACUAAAAAGAACCAUUGAUUCAUUUUAUGACAACGGGGAAUAUCCAUCGGUGGCAAUAAUUCUGGAAAAAUACCAAGAAAAGAUGAGAAAAAUUUAGACAAAGGUCGGCUGCAAGUUUAAAAAAAUGCACAACCUCUGAUAAUUAACCUACAGGAAGAUGACACAGAUGGGGAAGGUACGGAUGAGGAUUUUUGAAGAACUCAGAAAUAUCCCUAGAAAAGAUAAAAAUGGCCCUUUUCAGGGCCACAUUACGAUCUAUACAGUUUCUCUAUGAUUACGUCGACACAAACAUUUUAUCGUAACUAUAAAUUAAAGACUUUUAUUUCAGAUAGCGAAAAAUUAUUCCUAUAAAUACUUAACAUAAUUUAGCAUAUGGAUCGUACCUAUCCCGUUAUCGAUAUGCACCUCUACAGUUCUUACGCGCAUCACUACACACCUACCACACCUCUCCAUAAGACCUGUAAGUGCGAGCGAGACAGACAGAUAAAUAUGAUUUACGACCCUAAGCCUCAGUUAAAAAUGCGUCGACUAUAGUGCAUCGGCAAGAGCA